UGUAGUAGUACUACUUUAUACUACUAGUAUCUGUGGCGUUACGGGUUAUAGUAUUCAAAGGCUAUUUUUCAGUAAUAUUGAGGUUGAACUGUACCACCCUAGCAAUGAUUUUCAAAAGCGGCUGCUGUCUAAUUAACAGUAUAAACAGUGUAAAACGGUAGUCUAACAGUUUUUCUUACGAAACGAAGUUGACUCGAAAGCCAAAUGGCCCGGAGGAUUUCACUGCUUAUUGUUCUUGUUGUUUCUCGAGAUAAUUGAGAUCCUGCGGGAGCGCGGCGCUCAGAAAAGCGGCCGGGAGGUUGCCGUGUGAGUGUUGGAAGCCAAUCCGCGGCUACGCUGCUUUUAGCGUAAUGUGACAUUUCCUGGGCCGCAGCCAGCACUUUUGGGAGACGCCUUCUAACAAGUGCGCGAUGACGCUGGAGUUGGAAAGCUUGGCAAGCGAGUGCGGCCACAUGCUACUACAAACACGGGUUUUUGACAGGCGGCUGUAAUGAGCGCACGGUGAAAAGAAAAAGCCUCCUCGGCCGUGGCUGCGAGCCAGAGCCAAGUCAGCUGCUUCUGUGUUUACCCCAGGGCCUUGACACGGUGGCCCAGUUAGUACCUAGCAGGUUCCUUACACCGGGUUGGACCUCAGCCAAUGCUGUGGCAGAAGGGGAAAGAAAAAAAAUAUGAACAAGAUGCUUUUCAACCACCUGAAGCUAAAUUGCUAGCAUGCGCGCUUUCGUGAAUCAUCUUGCAUGAAUCAGCAACUGAAACCAGAAGUCAUUUGAGUCACUUACGAGACACAAGUGUGGAUCUAUUUGAAGGCACAGCUGAAACACACCACUUUUGUUUUUUGCGUAACAAAAGCAAUCGGGAAGUGUGGACUUGCACAGGUCUGGUUCAUCCUUGGGUGCAAUUUCCAGAUGUCUGAAGGUGCCACGUUCAUCUGUUCAAACAACUAAACACCAUGGGAAUGUCUAGCCAUCAAAGUGCUCAGGAAGGAGAUGGGUUCUGUGUCCCUGAGACGAACGGGCUUUGGUCUGAAAUGUGAAUACCAAUCCAAGAACAAAAACAAAAGACCCCCGUGAAGACACUGGCUGAAACUGAUAAGCGAGUGUCAUUAUUCACAGUGAAACAAAUACUGGAGCACUCUGCUAGCAAGAAGCCAUUACUCCAAAAGAAACAUAAAAAAAAAAAAAAAAAAAAACCAAAAAACAUUACGGUUUGAAAAAUGCACACAGGGAUAAAGCCCUUCACUUUUGGAGACAUGUCCUAUUGAACUGUUUGUCUAUAAUACGCAUCGUUACGUUUGGAGGAAAAAAGGAGGCGCAUGUAUGCCUUGAGGAGACCAAAUUCAACGAUGGAAUGUUGGCAGCAUCAUGUUUGCUGCAAGAGGGACCGGUGCAUUUCACAAAACCAUGAGGAAAGAACAUUAUGUGGAAAUACGGAAGCAUUGAUUAAGACGGUCCAAACACGGAGCCAGCGGCAGCUCGCCACUUCAAAGUCUGCGGUCAUAUCGACUAUCCCUCCCACCCACAAAAAGCCUUUUAUAAAAUGUCACAAAAGCAAACACCUGUCCUACGACAUCUUCACAAACACUUUGCGAAAGGUCUCGAGCCACAAGUGAUGCAAUAAAUAAAACAAUGAGCCCACUCAGCCAGUGAGUUAAUAAGCGCGUAUUCCCAUGAAACUUACAGUAUCUCCAUGACUCACGAGGAUCCUUCUGCAAUGAUGUAUCACGGCACUCGAUU